GUUAUUUCCAAUGCACAGUGACUGUGGUUUUCCCAUGAGGAAGCCAAGGACCCAGUUGCAGAGGGAGAAACAGUAAUGAGGAAUCUUUCUACAUCUGAGUGUGACGGUAUUGCUGAGUCUCCAUCUGGGAUUUGCUUGACAGACAGUAGUGAAAACCAAGAGGAAGCUACUGACAUGAUGAAGGAAACCCUGAACAUUGCCAGAUACGGAGGACCCUAAACAGCCGCAGCAUAAUGGGCAACUCAUCAUCUCAGAGCUAUUGUGCCUAAAUCAAAGUGAAAAUACAAUAUAGAAUGCCAUGAAACAGAAGAACACUCGUACGGCCAGAUUUGAGAACGGCUUCUUUCCAUCUGUGAUAAGACUGCUGAACGGAUCCUGACCUGGAUCGGAGCCAUACCCUCCAAAUAAGGCAGGAGGAG